UUCCAAGCUACAAAGAGCCAAUGGUGGAUGCCUUGGCGCCUAAUGCCGAUGAAGGACGUGGAAGGCUGCGAAAAGCUACGGUGAGCUGCCGAUCAAGCGUUGAACCGUAGAUGUCCGAAUGGGGAAACCCUACACCCGUCAUGGGGUGUAACUCUCGCCUGAACACAUAGGGCGAGUAGAGGGAACCGGGUGAAUUGAAACAUCUCAGUAACCCGAGGAAUGGAAAGCAACUGCGACUCCCUGAGUAGCGGCGAGCGAAACGGGAAGAGCCUAAACCGAAUGCGUGUCAAGCCUGGUGGCGUUGCGUAUUCGGGGUUGUGGGAGCGAGUGGUCAGAACACCAGAUCUGACACAGAGUUACCAAACUGCCGUGUAGUGGAAGCUUCUGGAAAGGAGCGCCGCAGAGGGUUAUGGCCCCGUACACGAAACAUGAGCAGUCUCUGACUCGAUUUCCCGAGUAGCGCCGGUUCCGUGAAGGCCGGCGUGAAUCUGCGAGGACCACCUCGUAAGGCUAAGUACAGUUAGGCGACCGAUAGCGAACUAGUACCGUGAGGGAAAGG
rnacentral:rRNA from 1 species